rnacentral:rRNA from 1 species
GACGAACGCUGGCGGCGUGCCUAAUACAUGCAAGUAGAACGCUGAAGGAGGAGCUUGCUUCUCUGGAUGAGUUGCGAACGGGUGAGUAACGCGUAGGUAACCUGCCUGGUAGCGGGGGAUAACUAUUGGAAACGAUAGCUAAUACCGCAUAAGAGUAGAUGUUGCAUGACAUUUGCUUAAAAGGUGCAAUUGCAUCACUACCAGAUGGACCUGCGUUGUAUUAGCUAGUUGGUGAGGUAACGGCUCACCAAGGCAACGAUACAUAGCCGACCUGAGAAGGUGAUCGGCCACACUGGGACUGAGACACGGCCCAGACUCCUACGGGAGGCAGCAGUAGGGAAUCUUCGGCAAUGGACGGAAGUCUGACCGAGCAACGCCGCGUGAGUGAAGAAGGUUUUCGGAUCGUAAAGCUCUGUUGUAAGAGAAGAACGAGUGUGAGAGUGGAAAGUUCACACUGUGACGGUAUCUUACCAGAAAGGGACGGCUAACUACGUG